UUGUCGUUGAUACGAACAAAGGCAAAGUUGCUCCAUGGCCCUGGAAAAGGGCUCCCCAAGCCUAGGCGUCCCACUUGGACUCACUGGUCCAGUAUCAAGUCACGUCCCUGAGACCUGAAAUCCCUGACCUAGAAUGCAAUGUGCUGGAAUGUACGAGAAGCAGGGAUUCAGCUCCUCUGAAGGUCACGAACGCCUCCUACGUGACCUACUUCAGCACCAAGAAACUGCAAACAGGAGCACGAG